GAGACACCCUUCUGGGGCAAGACUUUGCUUCAGUGGGGCUUUGGUGCUCACUGAGUCUUCCCCCUGAGUGUGUCCCU
rnacentral:pre_miRNA from 1 species